CCCUUAGAUGUUCUGGGCCGCACGCGCGCUACACUGACAAAGUCAACAAGUUUUACCUUGACCGAAAGGUUUGGGCAAUCUUUGAAACUUUGUCGUGCUGGGACUUGACGAUUGCAAUUAUUUGUCACAAACGAGGAAUUCCUAGUAAGCGCAAGUCAUCAACUUGCAUUGAUUACGUCCCUGCCCUUUGUACACACCGCCCGUCGCUUCUACCGAGUGAAUGUUCCGGUGAACACUUUGGAUCUAGCGUUCUUUGGGGAAACUCAGGGUAAUGAUUAGAGAAGCUGUGUAAACCAUAACAUUUCGAGGAAGGAGAAGUCGUAACA
rnacentral:rRNA from 1 species